rnacentral:sRNA from 1 species
CCAUGGGCUCACGCCCAUGGCUACAUCACGCCGCCGCUUCGCGGCU